rnacentral:tRNA from 1 species
AAGAAAGUCAUAGAGGUUAUGUGGUUGGCUUGAAACCAACUGGUGGGGGUUCGAUUCCUUCCUUUCUUG